rnacentral:rRNA from 1 species
AUUGAACGCUGGCGGCAGGCCUAACACAUGCAAGUCGAGCGGAUGAGAGGAGCUUGCUCCUUGAUUUAGCGGCGGACGGGUGAGUAAUGCCUAGGAAUCUGCCUGGUAGUGGGGGAUAACGUUCCGAAAGGAACGCUAAUACCGCAUACGUCCUACGGGAGAAAGCAGGGGACCUUCGGGCCUUGCGCUAUCAGAUGAGCCUAGGUCGGAUUAGCUAGUUGGUGAGGUAAUGGCUCACCAAGGCGACGAUCCGUAACUGGUCUGAGAGGAUGAUCAAUCACACUGGAACCUGGACACGGGCCAGAAUCCUACGGGAGGCAGCAGUGGGGAAUAUUUGACAAUGGGCGAAAGCCUGAUCCAGCCAUGCCGCGUGUGUGAAGAAGGUCUUCGGAUUGUAAAGCACUUUAAGUUGGGAGGAAGGGCAUUAACCUAAUACGUUAGUGUUUUGACGUUACCGACAGAAUAAGCACCGGCUAACUUCGUGCCAGCCGCCGCCGUAAGAC